GCUACCUGUGAUAGCACGUUAAAUGCACCAAUUCUCAAUGGAUCACUAAAGAUGAGCAACGUUGCGUAUGGUUAGUAUCCGGAUGGGUGACAAUCUGGACAAUCGCGUGCAAUUGGCU
rnacentral:rRNA from 1 species